rnacentral:misc_RNA from 1 species
AAAGUCGUAACAAGGUUUCCGUAGGUGAACCUGCGGAAGGAUCAUUAACACGUAUCCAACGUUAAAACCCCCGUGCAUAUUAACCCUGCUCUCCUUCACCUCUAGAAGCAAUCUCUGGUAAAUCAUUUCACAAAGAUAGAUUGAUUCAGAGACCUCUUCGGUGGCGUGAUUGGAUAGAUGCGGUAGAGCAAUUAGACCUGGUUUCCGAAAGGAUAACUGAUACUUACUCAGAUCGUUGAUCAUCACGAUUAACGGACAGGUCUCUGGGGCCUUUGGCUCCCCUAAAUAUUUAACCACAGCAUGUGAAUUUCGGGCUCUGCAAACACAGAACCCAUAAAAACGAACAACUGUUAACAAUGGAUAUCUUGGUUCUC